CAUUAAAAAAAAGCAACCCCCCCCCCUUCUCUCGCAAAUAUUUAGAUUGCUUUGGAUCCGCAUCUUCAUUCAAAUGCUGUGAAGAAGCUUAAUACUCACAGAAUCUACAAGGGAGGGUUUUUUUUUCUUCUAUUAAUUUUUGUUUUUUUUAAUGGCUUCAAGUUUUGAUCGGUGGGAGAAGGAUCCGUUCUUCUCUGCGGCUGAGGAAGUUCAAGAAUCAGCAGACAGGAUGGAAUCAACGUAUAGAACAUGGAUUCAUUCAAAGAAAGAGGAAUCUAGCAUGUGGGAUUCCGAGCAACUAUGUCGGGACCUACAUACUGCGCUAGGCACCACCAAAUGGCAGUUAGAGGAGUUUGCUCGGGCUGUCGGGUCGAGUUAUGUCAAAAGCUCUGUUGAUGAUGCGAGAGACAGGCAUCGUGAUUUUAUUGUCGCGAUCGAAGAUCAUAUUUUAAGAAUAGAAAAUUCGUUAAAGGAAUGUGCCCUUUCAGAGGGCAAGACUUCGUUGCCUUGGGUGCAUUUGGAUGAAGGGGAGUGCAAUGAACUUGCAUUGUUUUUGUCAGGGCCACCAACGACAUCUAGAGAGAAUAUAUCAAAAAAUCAUGUCAUGGAGAGUGGGAUGACACAAGAAGGAGGUGAAGAGUCUACCCCCCAUUCUUCAAAGAACUUGACUAAUUUGGUCAUGUGCUCCUCCUUGGAGCCCAGGGACGAGAAGUUGCAUGGGCAUAGGAGGACGGCUAGUGCCAGUGCUGAUAUUGGUGCGUGGAAAAUUGCUAUAGCUGAAGAUGUUUGCCUGUCUGAUCCUUGUAAUGAGAAGGCCCCCAUCCCACGACCCCCACGAAAGGUACCUAGUUUGUCUGGAAUCGUAUCUUCUAUGGAAUCUGUUUCUAAAUUCAACUGGCCAAAGAAUGGAGUUCGGAAAUGGAAGGCAAUGGAUCGUCAACAAGAAUCUGAUACAAUACCAUUGCAAUCUUCACAGUUAACUAGGGGCAUAGAUGCAUGCUAUGAGAAAAGUAAGAGUUGCCUGGAUAGUUAUAAUGAAUGUUAUGACAAGCAAAUUUAUGGCUGGUAUGGAGCUAUGCAGCGCCAACUUCAACGGUCCCAGUAUCAAAUGCAAUAUAGUCGGCCUGUCCAAGCAGCCUUGUCAGUUGUUUUUCUCUUUUGCUUAAUUGUCUUAAUUGUGCUACGUGCAAUUUAAGGUGCUGUUCAUCCUACAAAUUACAGCCUGGGGCAAUAAAUGGCUCGGAGGGCAUCACAGUGGUGAUAUGCGGAAAGAUGUUUUCGAGAGAACAAGAGCUUUUCAUUAUUAUCAAGUGACUGGUUCAGUAUAGCUGUUCAUGAAGUGGGGGAAUUGGAACUAUCAAACUACAAUUGGACAUCACCUAGAUUAUGUGCUUAAAGGGAGCCUCUCAAGAUGAGUGAAAAAAUGCGAGAAGGAAAGGAAAUGUUCCUGAUGCAUUUUAUUAACGGUAAGCCUUACAGAGGUAGUUGCUGAUCAAGUGACAGACAACUCUUAAAGAUACCGGUAACCAAAGUAGAAACCAGUAAACACUAAUGGCAGGACGAACUCAAGAAAAGCUUGAUACUUGGGCAUUUUAUCAUCAUCCUUGAUCACAAAGGCACUCAUUUCUUUGUGCUUGGAUUCCACGAAAGAAGCAUACUUGUCUGCCUCAUUGAAAGCGUGACCCUGAAGAACACCAACCUGGUACUUCAGGAGCAAGUUUUGGGCUUCCUUGCUGUGUCCAAUGUUACUGAAUUCCCUCGUCGCAUCCUUUCCUGCAACCUCUACAAGCAC